GGGAAUAUUGCACAAUGGGCGCAAGCCUGAUGCAGCGACGCCGCGUGGGGGAUGACGGCCUUCGGGUUGUAAACCUCUUUCACCAUCGGCAAAGCCGGGAGCUUUUGUUUCUGGUGACGGUAGGUGGAGAAGAAGCACCGGCCAACUACGUGCCAGCAGCCGCGGUAAUACGUAGGGUGCGAGCGUUGUCCGGAAUUACUGGGCGUAAAGAGCUCGUAGGUGGUUUGUCGCGUUGGCCGUGAAAUCCCCUGGCUUAACUGGGGGCGUGCGGGCGAUGCGGGCAGACUAGAGGACUGCAGGGGAGACUGGAAUUCCUGGUGUAGCGGUGGAAUGCGCAGAUAUCAGGAGGAACACCGGUGGCGAAGGCGGGUCUCUGGGCAGUAACUGACGCUGAGGAGCGAAAGCGUGGGGAGCGAAC
rnacentral:rRNA from 1 species